rnacentral:lncRNA from 1 species
AUAACCCUAUAUUAUUAUCACUGCAUAUUAACAAAUUUCCUUUCAGUUGGAAACAUUUUUAAUCUUAAUAGAAAUUAAUUGUAAUUGUUUUUUUAAAACUUUUUUCUGAAUUAAACCAUGUACAAACAUAUCAUGGACAGAGUAGAAAGAUUUACAUGUAAGUUUGUAGAAAAAUGGAUCUAUUUACAUAUCAAUAAAAUUCUUUAUUUCUUGACAUUCCAAUUUGUAUUUAAACCAUGAAUUUUCAGUAAAUGUUGUCAAAAUAGGCAGUAACAUUACUAGCUGUUUAUACUUGUCACAUGCAUAUAGUAGGCUUCAUUUUAUUGUUAUAUAUUGAAGGGUAAUGGUUGUGUGAUUUUGAUAUAUUUUUCAAAUAUGUUCACUGGUUGUGUGUAGAAUUGUAGACAAAUCACAUGUGUUUUUUAUGUCUUUAUUUUUUAUGAAUUUUCUGACAUUGUAGUUUUAUUUUCCACAGAGAAAGUAAAACUCAAUAUUUGUAAAAUAUCAGUCCUCUAUCAUGUGGUUCAGCAUACAUUUGUGUACUGACAAUUAAAGAAUAUGUAGUAAAGCAGUAAGAAUUAUGAGGGUUCACAGUAACGAAAGAAGCACCACGUAUAACAUGGAAUUGACAAUAAAAGGUUUUGAAAGGUUUGCCAAAAGUUACUAGGACUGGUAUUUUACAGAUUUUUUUUUCAUUUGCAAAGAAAGGGAAGAUGGUGCUUUACUCAUGCUUUUAUAGCAACAUAUUUAUUGUUUUGUUUUGUUUUUGUUAUUGGUUUAUUUUAAUAGAAAUUGCAAAUCCAUUUGAGAUUUUUAUUUUUAGGGCUUUGUGAUAAGUAGAUUCCAGUGGUUGAUAAUUGUUGAGAAAAUCAUAUUGUAUAAGCACAAUGAUUAAUUUCAAUUUCAAAAGAUUCUUCUAUAAGCUAUUAUGAGAUCUUCACAAGAACAAAACCAAUUUCAUAGGAUUCUUCUAUUUGAAAUUAUUUGAUCUUCACAAGAACAAAACAGAUUUAUAAUUUUCAAUGUGCUUUAGGGAAAGCCAUUUUUCAUAGCAGAAUGGUCCAACUGACAGAGCUUUAAAUAUUGGCCACAUCAGCUAACCAUGAAAUCACAUUUCUUUUUUACAAGUCUGUGCUCCACGAAACCUCUUUCUGAAUUAUAAACCUUUCUUUUACAGUGACUUGACUGUUAGUGUUGCUCUCCACCAAUUGCAAUUCAUUCAAAAUUUUGACCAAAUUGCAAUUUGUUUUAUAAAAUCAAAUUGUUCAACUGGUCAGAAAUUUGAACCAACUGCUGUAGAAAACAACAGCCAAGUCAUGAAAGUGCAAGGUGAUAAAAUAAAACAUACUCACAAUUAUAUAAGACUUUAACUCCACUUUAAUGAUGUUGUGACAAAAUUAGUUUAUCAGUUUGUAUAGUUAUAUUAUAUUCAUUUCCAUGCUGAAGGGGAACUGUUUAUUUUGAAUUUACUUUUAGAAGGUAACAUAAUUUUUCAUUCAUUUUUGAGAUAGAUAUAAGAUUUCAUAACAUAUUAAAUGGUGAUGGAGUUUCACUGACCAAUUAUUUUUUGUACAAAGAAUCUUGUUUGUUACAAGAAAUCAUUCCAAAAUUGUGAAGAAAGAAGCACUUAUUGGUUUCUUUCAAACACUUCUUACAUGGUUGUUUUGUUGUAUGUAUUUUUUAUACAGAUAGAUUAUUGUUUUGUCAUUAAAUGCUUUUAAAAAG